UUUAAGAUUCAUUAAAAAAGAAAAGAAAGAAUUAACAAGAUAAAGAUGCUUUUAAUAAAGUUGUGCACGUACGUAUCUACAACUUGGACAAGCCUACAAAAUCUUCCUUCUGAUCCACACAAAUGAGCCAAGAACCAGAUCAUGGAACUCCUCUUUAGCUUUGAUAAGGGUCUCCAUCAAAUUACGUCACAAAAAAUAGAGGUAACAUUAUGAAAAUCAAUUGCAACAUAUUCAUCCAAAUUUUUCUAAGAUGAUCUCUUGCACAAGGUGCUCAUUCACUGCCUGGUGUGUCCAGCAUUUUUCAACACUUGGCUUUUUUAGCCUCUAUCAAUGCAUUGACUGGUCAGUGUACCUUUGUCAAUGAUCCACUCGCCUAUUAUGUAUGGUCCAUCUCAUUUUUAUAUUUGUUAUUACUUAUCUUUAUGUCUUUGUCAAUGCUUAAAAUCCUUGUUAACUAAACCAUACAGUUAUUGGGACUUAUUCAGCUCAUAAUUUUCAAAAAAUAUGGAUGAUUUAGAAACAUUUUUACCAUCUCAUUAAAAUCUACAUUAUUUAAUCAUCGUUUACGAGUCAUUAUAGUCAUAUCUAUCCAUAGUUUCUUAACUUGAUUGAGCUCACUCACUAUCAACGAUAAUUUCUCUUUCAAGCAAACCCAAUAAACUUUGAAAAGAUAUUCCUAGCCAAUUUAGUCAUCAAAAUCUACUUGAACUUCUAUAAAUUAUUUCACUAUAAUAUCAAUCUAAAGUGCAAGGGCAUUACUAGAAUGUUUGGUCAAGCAAAGAAAUAGUAAAAAAAAAAUAAUAAUAAUAAUAAUAAUAAUAAUAAUAAUAAUAAUAAUAAUAAUAAUAAUGUUUUAAUAAAUGGUAAAGCUUCAGCCAGGGAAAUAAAAAAUGGUCAAUAGGCUAAACUAGUAAUCUAAAAGCAAAAAACGUUACUGGUUGACACCUUGGUCGUUUCUCUUUUCCUUGUUGAUACCUUGGCUGAUUUUUAAAAUUAUUUUUCCCCCUUUUUUAAGCUUAACCAAAUAUGAUAGUAGUGUGGUUCCAAUAUUAAGAUGUUAUUCUAGUGAAAUUAUUUACGAAGAUUCAAGUAGAUUUUGAUAACAAAACUAGUUUGGAGUAUUUAAAGUGCAUUGAGUUUGCUUGAAAGAGAAGCUAUCCUUGACAAUGAUCGGUCUCACUCAAGCUAAGAAACCAUGGAAAGAUAUGGCUACGACGCCUUGUAAACGUAUAUUAUAUGAGAUAGAUCUUAAUGACAUGAUAAAAAAAGCUUCUAACUUAUACAUGUUUUCAUUGAAUAUUUUAAGCUAAAUAAGUCCUAAGAACUGCAUUUUGUAGUCUUUAAGAUAAGAUGAGCUAUAAUAUAUAAAAGACACGUCAAUUGUAGUAAAUGGUGCAUACUAGUCGUGCAUUGACAAAGAGCUUAGGAAAGUCAAGCGUUGAAAAAGGAUAGAGAAACCAAAUAUUAACAGGUAGUAAAUGGAUUUCUAAAGACCUCAUGCAAAAGAGACCAUGCCAGAAAAAUUUAAAUAAAUAUGCUAUAAUUGAUUUUCAUAACAUUAGUUUGAAUUACUUGCGAGAUUGAUUGUUGAAAAAUAACUGCAUCAACAACUCAAAGCAUACAAUUAGCACAAAAUAGUCAAAUAAAAUAAGUAAUACAAAUUUUGCCAUUCAAUUCAAUUACAAAAUGCAAGUAACUUUAAUACUGAGCAGGACAAAAUAACGAUAACUAAGCAGAACAGAAAAAUGAAAACUAAACAUAGCAAAAAAUGAGAUAAUCACAAUAUGCUUUAAAUUAAAUUAUUAUAGUUAGCUUCAAACCAUAUUAUACCAGAAAAGGUAAUCCAUUCUGUUGGAACCAUGUUCAUCAAAUUAUUCCAUUUAAUUUCUGCUCAUAUUAAAAAUGCUCAAUUAGGGAGAAAUUAAUUCUUUCCAUUCCAAUACAACUCUCGAGUAGAUUUUUCCAAGCCCCCCACCCAAUAACUUUCCAUGCUUGUGAGUUUUGUAUAAGAAAAUGAGAAAAUGAAAGAAGCAACAUAAACUUAAAGAACUGAAGACGUGAUGAUUUCCGAGCAUCGAAGAAGUUGAGCUUCGAAAGAAUCAAACUAGAAAUGAAGAAGAAAAGGCAAGAAAAUGAUUUGGAAAGGGAAGAGAAAAUUCGUGAGGUGGCUCAGAUGAAGUUAUACACCCUAAGUGAUGAGAUGACUUGAGCAGAAAUAAAAUGCGUACGGUUUUUUUAAAAUUGACCUUGCGAAACCGAGAAAACCAAUGGGUCCCUGUUCAACCAAGCUAGCUCAGUGGUUCGCAAUCGGUAUUCUAUCGUACAGUUUUUAAAGGCUAACCAGACCGAUUCCUAGUUCUCAAACCAACUGGUCCUUCCCAUUUUUGGUAAUAUUGGUAAAAGUUACUUUGUUCCAAACAAGUUUUGAUGACAACCUACAUCAUGUUUGGCUAAGCUUAAAUGGGUGCUUAAAAGGAUCUUUUUAGCAUAUGUGAGAUGAUGCUAUCAGAAAACGUGUUUUUAAGCUUCACCAAACAUGCCCCUUACUCUUGCUUUUAAGCUUAUGAAGUUACUUAUUUUGAAAGUUACUCUCACCGAACUUUCAAAACGAA
rnacentral:lncRNA from 1 species